UGUUCCAUCAUACAUAUCAUCAUCAAAAAGAGAUCACUCAUUGGUGAAUUACAUUUCAUUCUGGCUUUGACUCAUCUCUCUCUCUGUUGCUGAUUUACUAUUUCUUUGAUAAAUUAUAUACACCACCAUUAAUUCUACACAGGGCUGUGGAUGAGCUGAAUAAAUGGUUCUGCUGCCUGGUCUCCAAUAAUACAGAGAUGUCAAAGGAAAUCAGGGCGGUCUCUCUUUUGGCAAUGCAUAUUAAGGGAGUUCAAGAGAUUAAAAUUCAGACAAGGAAUCAACAAGAGGUCGCAUCGUGUCAAGAAUAUGGAAAUUAUAAAGUAAAAAUCAAGUGAAGAGACUACAUAUAUAAAAUGAUGGAUAGUAAAAAGAAGAGACAUACAGAGACCACUAAAAAUGGAUUUAACAUCAUCAUCACACCUUUUUUGUGCGAGAAGGCUUUACAGGAAAUAUAACGCAUCAUAACUCCGUCAUUUUUUAAGAAGCAGUGGUAGCACAACACAUUAACAACCAGUAGUAGUAAUAAUAAAUAUAUUACAAAAGCA